CCUACGGGUGGCAGCAGUGGGGGAUAUUGCACAAUGGGGGAAACCCUGAUGGAGCGACGCCGCGGGUGGGAAGACGGUCUUCUGGAUUGUAAACCACUGUCACCAGGGAGGAAAAUGACGGUACCUGGGGAGGAAGCGCCGGCUAACUACGUGCCAGCAGCCGCGGUAAUACGGAGGGAGCAAGCGUUGUCAGGAAUUCCGGGGUGUAAAGGGAGCGGAGGCGGGGAGGCAAGGUGGGUGUCACACCUACCGGCUCAACCGCUAGUCGCACUCCACACUGCAGCUCUUGAGUGAAGUAGAGGCAGGCGGCAUUCCUCGUGUAGCGGUGAACUUCGUCGAUCUUAGGCGGACCCCCAGUGGCGACGGCGGCCUGCUGGGCUUUUCCUGACGCUGAUGCUCGAACGUGUGGGGAGCAAACAGGAUUAGAUACCCGGGUAGUC
rnacentral:rRNA from 1 species